CGGCACGGGUGAGUAACACGUAUCCAACCUGCCGUCUACUCUUGGCCAGCCUUCUGAAAGGAAGAUUAAUCCAGGAUGGGAUCAUGAGUUCACAUGUCCGCAUGAUUAAAGGUAUUUUCCGGUAGACGAUGGGGAUGCGUUCCAUUAGAUAGUAGGCGGGGUAACGGCCCACCAAGACUGCGAUGGAUAGGGGUUCUGAGAGGAAGGUCCCCCACAUUGGAACUGAGACACGGUCCAA
rnacentral:rRNA from 1 species